GGUUAAGCGACUAAGCGUACACGGUGGAUGCCCUGGCAGUCAGAGGCGAUGAAGGACGUGCUAAUCUGCGAUAAGCGUCGGUAAGGUGAUAUGAACCGUUAUAACCGGCGAUUUCCGAAUGGGGAAACCCAGUGUGAUUCGUCACACUAUCAUUAACUGAAUCCAUAGGUUAAUGAGGCGAACCGGGGGAACUGAAACAUCUAAGUACCCCGAGGAAAAGAAAUCAACCGAGAUUCCCCCAGUAGCGGCGAGCGAACGGGGAGCAGCCCAGAGCCUGAAUCAGUGUGUGUGUUAGUGGAAGCGUCUGGAAAGGCGCGCGAUACAGGGUGACAGCCCCGUACACAAAAAUGCACAUGCUGUGAGCUCGAUGAGUAGGGCGGGACACGUGGUAUCCUGUCUGAAUAUGGGGGGACCAUCCUCCAAGGCUAAAUACUCCUGACUGACCGAUAGUGAACCAGUACCGUGAGGGAAAGGCGAAAAGAACCCCGGCGAGGGGAGUGAAAAAGAACCUGAAACCGUGUACGUACAAGCAGUGGGAGCACGCUUAGGCGUGUGACUGCGUACCUUUUGUAUAAUGGGUCAGCGACUUAUAUUCUGUAGCAAGGUUAACCGAAUAGGGGAGCCGAAGGGAAACCGAGUCUUAACUGGGCGUUAAGUUGCAGGGUAUAGACCCGAAACCCGGUGAUCUAGCCAUGGGCAGGUUGAAGGUUGGGUAACACUAACUGGAGGACCGAACCGACUAAUGUUGAAAAAUUAGCGGAUGACUUGUGGCUGGGGGUGAAAGGCCAAUCAAACCGGGAGAUAGCUGGUUCUCCCCGAAAGCUAUUUAGGUAGCGCCUCGUGAAUUCAUCUCCGGGGGUAGAGCACUGUUUCGGCAAGGGGGUCAUCCCGACUUACCAACCCGAUGCAAACUGCGAAUACCGGAGAAUGUUAUCACGGGAGACACACGGCGGGUGCUAACGUCCGUCGUGAAGAGGGAAACAACCCAGACCGCCAGCUAAGGUCCCAAAGUCAUGGUUAAGUGGGAAACGAUGUGGGAAGGCCCAGACAGCCAGGAUGUUGGCUUAGAAGCAGCCAUCAUUUAAAGAAAGCGUAAUAGCUCACUGGUCGAGUCGGCCUGCGCGGAAGAUGUAACGGGGCUAAACCAUGCACCGAAGCUGCGGCAGCGACGCUUAUGCGUUGUUGGGUAGGGGAGCGUUCUGUAAGCCUGUGAAGGUGUGCUGUGAGGCAUGCUGGAGGUAUCAGAAGUGCGAAUGCUGACAUAAGUAACGAUAAAGCGGGUGAAAAGCCCGCUCGCCGGAAGACCAAGGGUUCCUGUCCAACGUUAAUCGGGGCAGGGUGAGUCGACCCCUAAGGCGAGGCCGAAAGGCGUAGUCGAUGGGAAACAGGUUAAUAUUCCUGUACUUGGUGUUACUGCGAAGGGGGGACGGAGAAGGCUAUGUUGGCCGGGCGACGGUUGUCCCGGUUUAAGCGUGUAGGCUGGUUUUCCAGGCAAAUCCGGAAAAUCAAGGCUGAGGCGUGAUGACGAGGCACUACGGUGCUGAAGCAACAAAUGCCCUGCUUCCAGGAAAAGCCUCUAAGCAUCAGGUAACAUCAAAUCGUACCCCAAACCGACACAGGUGGUCAGGUAGAGAAUACCAAGGCGCUUGAGAGAACUCGGGUGAAGGAACUAGGCAAAAUGGUGCCGUAACUUCGGGAGAAGGCACGCUGAUAUGUAGGUGAAGUCCCUCGCGGAUGGAGCUGAAAUCAGUCGAAGAUACCAGCUGGCUGCAACUGUUUAUUAAAAACACAGCACUGUGCAAACACGAAAGUGGACGUAUACGGUGUGACGCCUGCCCGGUGCCGGAAGGUUAAUUGAUGGGGUUAGCGCAAGCGAAGCUCUUGAUCGAAGCCCCGGUAAACGGCGGCCGUAACUAUAACGGUCCUAAGGUAGCGAAAUUCCUUGUCGGGUAAGUUCCGACCUGCACGAAUGGCGUAAUGAUGGCCAGGCUGUCUCCACCCGAGACUCAGUGAAAUUGAACUCGCUGUGAAGAUGCAGUGUACCCGCGGCAAGACGGAAAGACCCCGUGAACCUUUACUAUAGCUUGACACUGAACAUUGAGCCUUGAUGUGUAGGAUAGGUGGGAGGCUUUGAAGUGUGGACGCCAGUCUGCAUGGAGCCGACCUUGAAAUACCACCCUUUAAUGUUUGAUGUUCUAACGUUGACCCGUGAUCCGGGUUGCGGACAGUGUCUGGUGGGUAGUUUGACUGGGGCGGUCUCCUCCUAAAGAGUAACGGAGGAGCACGAAGGUUGGCUAAUCCUGGUCGGACAUCAGGAGGUUAGUGCAAUGGCAUAAGCCAGCUUGACUGCGAGCGUGACGGCGCGAGCAGGUGCGAAAGCAGGUCAUAGUGAUCCGGUGGUUCUGAAUGGAAGGGCCAUCGCUCAACGGAUAAAAGGUACUCCGGGGAUAACAGGCUGAUACCGCCCAAGAGUUCAUAUCGACGGCGGUGUUUGGCACCUCGAUGUCGGCUCAUCACAUCCUGGGGCUGAAGUAGGUCCCAAGGGUAUGGCUGUUCGCCAUUUAAAGUGGUACGCGAGCUGGGUUUAGAACGUCGUGAGACAGUUCGGUCCCUAUCUGCCGUGGGCGCUGGAGAAUUGAGGGGGGCUGCUCCUAGUACGAGAGGACCGGAGUGGACGCAUCACUGGUGUUCGGGUUGUCAUGCCAAUGGCACUGCCCGGUAGCUAAAUGCGGAAGAGAUAAGUGCUGAAAGCAUCUAAGCACGAAACUUGCCCCGAGAUGAGUUCUCCCUGACUCCUUGAGAGUCCUGAAGGAACGUUGAAGACGACGACGUUGAUAGGCCGGGUGUGUAAGCGCAGCGAUGCGUUGAGCUAACCGGUACUAAUGAACCGUGAGGCUUAACCUU
rnacentral:rRNA from 1 species